AGCAGUCGCCACGGGAAUACGUAGGGUGCAAGCGUUAAUCGGAAUUACUGGGCGUAAAGCGUGCGCAGGCGGUUUGUUAAGACAGAUGUGAAAUCCCCGGGCUCAACCUGGGAACUGCAUUUGUGACUGGCAGGCUAGAGUAUGGCAGAGGGGGGUGGAAUUCCGCGUGUAGCAGUGAAAUGCGUAGAUAUGCGGAGGAACACCGAUGGCGAAGGCAGCCCCCUGGGCCAAUACUGACGCUCAUGCACGAAAGCGUGGGGAGCAAUCAGGAUUAGAUACCCCUGUAGUCCCUGUCUCUUAUAC
rnacentral:rRNA from 1 species